GAGGAAAAGGAACCAACAGGGAUUGCCCCAGUAACGGCGAGUGAAGCGGCAACAGCUCAAAUUUGAAAUCUGGCCCUCGGGUCCGAGUUGUAAUUUGUAGAGGAUGCUUUUGGCGAGGUGCCUUCCGAGUUCCCUGGAACGGGACGCCAUAGAGGGUGAGAGCCCCGUCUGGUCGGACACCGAGCCUCUGUAAAGCUCCUUCAACGAGUCGAGUAGUUUGGGAAUGCUGCUCAAAAUGGGAGGUAUAUGUCUUCUAAAGCUAAAUAUUGGCCAGAGACCGAUAGCGCACAAGUAGAGUGAUCGAAAGAUGAAAAGCACUUUGAAAAGAGGGUUAAAAAGUACGUGAAAUUGUUGAAAGGGAAGCGCCUAUGACCAGACUUGCGCCCGGUGAAUCAUCCAGCGUUCUCGCUGGUGCACUUUGCCGGGCACAGGCCAGCAUCAGUUUGGCGCGGGGGAAAAAGGCUUCGGGAAUGUGGCUCCCUCGGGAGUGUUAUAGCCCGCUGCGUAAUACCCUGCGCCGGACUGAGGUACGCGC
rnacentral:rRNA from 1 species